rnacentral:rRNA from 1 species
UACGUAGGGCGCGAGCGUUGUCCGGAAUUAUUGGGCGUAAAGAGCUCGUAGGCGGCCUGUCGCGUCGGUUGUGAAAGCCCGGGGCUCAACCCCGGGUCUGCAGUCGAUACGGGCAGGCUAGAGUAUGGUAGGGGCAGAGGGAAUUCCUGGUGUAGCGGUGAAAUGCGCAGAUAUCAGGAGGAACACCGGUGGCGAAGGCGGAUCUCUGGGCCGAUACUGACGCUGAGGAGCGAAAGCGUGGGGAGCGAACAGG